GUCAUUAUGCAGCUGCUGAUACAACAUCGACCAGAAAAGAGGGGCUCUGACUACUGAAACAAGCUGCUGAAUCUGUGUGAAAUGAGUCAGUAAUGUAAGUGAAGAAUUGACAGAGCAGGGGAAAGCUGAUCAUGUAAUUAUCCCAACAAAAGAUCACGGACUAUGUAUCACAAUUCCUGGAUACUUCAGUGAUUACUUAAUAUCAUCCUCAGAGAACGACAGCAGAGAACAGUCUCUCAUGAUUGAGAGAGACUUAAAGAACAGAGCUACUGUGACUGGAUGAAAGAAUGGAACAGCACAGCACUAAACAGACAGCAGGAACAGAACAAAAUGUGCUUGACAUAAUGGACCUGGAAAUUGUACAUUAUUAUCUUGGCCUCAUCAUCUCCUGCCUUCAACUACCAGUCUAUCUACUACAUGAAUAGCAUCUUCCCAUUAAGGCAUCAUCCUCGACAACUGACCACCAGAGACAAAAGAGUACUCUCAGGCUGCUGAAAAUCCCAGCCAUUCUUCUCACCACCUUUUGAUAUCCCAAGGCUUCUAUUCCCUGACCUCUGCACUCUGACAUCCUUAUUUGAAGGAUGGUCAGAAAAAAUUGUUUCCAAAUUUAGCCAAUAAAACUAAGGAUUUAUUUUGCUUUCCAUAAUUGCUUUGUGUCCUAAUGUACCUGUGGGAACACCAAGAUUUUACAAAAGAGAGUAGAAGGAAAAGUGUCAACAAGAAAAAACCCCUUUGAUUUUCUGAUUUUGAAACUAUUCUCAAACAUGUGCCUUCUAAAAGCCAGCCACUCUGUCUAAAGUGCCUUGACACUGUCAUCACUGAUGCCUUGAUUGUGUAUGUGUACCCACAGUAUUUCCACCUAGUCAGUGUCAUACGGAUUUCUAUUUCUAACAUGCAGAUAUCCCUUGCUGACAUAA